GGAUGUGAAGGCAACCUGGCUGUGACCUGUCACCCACUGAUGGCCAGGGUGACCCCCUCCUCACUGCUCCAUCACCUCCCUCCCAAAGCUGCACACUCAGUCAAAGAGCAAAAUCUUCCCCAAAUGAGAAGGACCAUUCUCCUGUCCAGGGCAUAUGCUUG
rnacentral:snRNA from 1 species